AGAGUGAUUAUAGAUUGAUAUCUUUUUGGUUUCAAUUAACUAAGAAUGGAAGCCAGAACUCUAUCAAUCUUUGCCACUCUAUUGAUCAUAUUAGCUGAUGCAAGUGCCAUACUCGAGGUUGAUAGCUUGAUGGAUCAAGGAAACAUGGCCUAUAACAUGAAUGGCAAAUCAAACCCUUGCAGCUCAUGCUUGGAGGCUUCAAGACAUGCUCAGAAAUCUCUGGAUGACCUAAUCUUGUUCAGUGACAUCAGAUCACUCUCAUCUGAAGCUUGCCAUAUUUUGCCUUCUCAACUUAAGAAUCAGUGUUUGGACAAGUCACAAGCAUAUAUAGAUCAGGCUCAGUUCUUUCUCCAACACCUCUUCCAUGAAGGUAGUCUUUGCAACAACACAGGAUUAUGCCUUGAUGAAUCCUUUUACCCAGAUGACAAUAUUCUUACUUCACUGAUCAAUGAAUCUACCGAGACUGGGGAGACCACCUGCUAUGAAUGCAGUAGAGCCAUCAGGAACAUCAUCGAAGGCACACAAUCGAGUAAAGUGAGGAAAAAGAUGAGGCAAUUGCUGGUUGAGCAGUGCGAAGAACAUCAUAGGCAGAGUGAAAAGCAGUGCAAGGUAACAGUGGCCAAAUAUGGUUCAAGGAUGAUGUCAAAGCUUGCGGAGAUGGAAGCCAAUGAUUUGUGCCACAUGAUGAGUCUCUGUUGAGGGGAUCUCUUUGCAGAGAAGCUUGAACUAGCUUAAGAACAAGCACAAGCACUUCCUUGGAUACUUUCAGAAUAACUGCAGGAAUCAGAUACUCCUUGCAGGAUUUGAAUAAAAUGCAUUCUACUAUUUUGAAUGAUGUGAUCAUGCACACUGUUUUUGGGGCAUUUGAGGAUUGUCUCAUAUUGAAUAAAUUUCCUCUUUGGAAAUAAUGAAUUAAUUAACUUACCAUUCA